UACAGAGGUCCCAAGCGUUACUGAGAAUCACUGGGUUUAAAGGGUGCGUAGGUGGUCCGUUAAGUCAGUUGUGAAAUCCCCGGGCUCAACCCGGGAACUGCUUCUGAUACUGGCGGACUUGAGGCCAGUAGGGGUCACUAGAACUGACGGUGGAGCGGUGAAAUGCGUAGAUAUCGUCAGGAAUGCCGGUGGUGAAGACGGGUGACUGGGCUGGUGCUGACACUGAGGCACGAAAGCGUGGGGAGCGAACGGG
rnacentral:rRNA from 1 species